AACCUUCAGAGUUCUCUUCCCCUGUCAGAUGGUCCAAGCAGCUGUAGUGACAACCAAUUCAGGAGUACAUAUCUAUCAGCUAGGUAGGUGGUUGUAUUAAAUGUGGAAGUUGCUAUGUGUUUGUAGAUCUUUAUUUUUUACAACUAACGUUGUACGUUUUGUUCUAAUGUAUUUGAAGUAAUGAGAAAAAAUUUUCUGUCCAGUUCAGAAGUUACCUAUUUGUGACUUGGAAUUACGAGCAAGAUAUUGGUAGACAAAUCUUCUGAUUGAAUAAUUUAUUUCUUCAUGGAAGCUCGUGAGCACAAAGCAGGAUACUCUAUCAGAAAAAAUACAUUUUACCCUAAGAUAGAGGCAGAAGUAAAGCACGUUUCAUACUUAAGUUCUUGUUUUGUGCUUUUAUAUAUUACUAAGGGUUGAAUGAGUGAAUAUUACGGCAUAACAUGUAAUAAAACCUUCACAGUAAAAUAUCCUCUUUUCAGAUCUCUGGAACUGCCAGUGAAGCUUCCUUUAACUGCACCAUCUAAUGCAAAACAGCAGGAUAGCCCAUCUGUAUGUGAAGUACUAAAUUCUUGUAAAAGUACCACUAUUUUGUCAAAGGAAGUACACUCAGAUAAACUCAGGUUUGCAUUAUCAUUGCCUUCUGAUAAAAAUAAUCAAAAGUCAAAUGAAAUAGACCAGGUGGAAGCAACUGUUGACACAAAUACAUUUUUAAAAGAAAAUCAGUUACGUACAGAACUAAAGUGCAACAGUGUCUUCCUGACUCAUGUCAAUAAUGCACAAUAUCAGAGACAGUCCGAGGAGCUUACAAAACAGUAUACUGGUAGUUCAUUGCCAUUCUGUGGAAACGUAACUGAAAGAAAGAAACAUACAGCACAUGAUAAGUCAAAAACUCAACAUAAUAUAAAGGAUUUUGAUAAAAAAUGCAGCUCAAAUAGUCUGCUUCAUUGUGGUAUUAAUAGCAGCAGCAACACCAAUGACAUGAGCUGUCACGCAAGAUCCAGUGACUUGUCUCACAGUAUUCCUUCACCUCUUCAGCUUAGCAGUGAAUGUAACAUAGAUUUUAAGAUUUCUGUGGACAAGAUUAAACCUGAAGAAACUGUUUAUGAUGCCGAUAUGGAGUUGACUGCUAGUGAUGUAGGUGAACUACUCACAGUUACAUCAAAAGAUAAACUGCACCAAAAUAAAAAUAGUAAUGCCAAUUCUGGUGAAACAUCAGCAAAUUUCAGAAGAGUAAAAUAUUCUAAGGAGAAAACUAAAAGCAAGCCUAAAGUAAGUUCAGAUUUUUAUGCAGAAGAAACUUGCUCUAAGGCUAACAGUAGUACAGAUUCAAAAACUAACGACUUGGCAACUCAAAUGUUCCAAAACCAGACAGAACAGCUACCUACAGGGAAUUCUUUAGAGAAACAGAGUUUAAAGAAUACCAGCAAAUAUUAUCAAGCACAGGAUUGUCCAAGUAAAGCUAAAGAUACUAGGAGGACAUACCUGGUUAACCUAGUGAGUCCAAGGAAACAAGAACAGGAGACAAAUCAAGACACUUGUCCAGAAAGGUCUGAAGAUAUGGAAAACAAAAUACAAGAAGCAGACUCUAACUCACCUAAUAAUAAGAUCCCACCUGAAAUUUAUUGUGCUGAAAGUUUUCCAUUCAAGGAUAACACCUCUAAUGCAUUGUCUUUACAGCAGGACUUUCUACAUACAAAUGAGAAACAUAUCAACCCAGAAAUGAACAGGAAAGCCUUUCAGAACCCUUCUAAAAAGAAGGCAACAAAACAUUUUAGAGAGGAAAAUGGACAGUAUAGAGAAUAUGGUUCAAAAAAGUCUCAAACAGAGAUAAGCCAACAUGAGUGGAAGAGAAAAGAGCAGAAGAAUAUUAUAAAGAAUAAAUACAACCGAAAAAGUAGUCACAGACAAAGUGGAGAAACUGAAAGUGACAGUGUUCAUAAAAUUAUUCAGAAAAUAGACCGAAGGAGUAAUAAAGUUUCACCAGGCAGAUUAAAACGUACAUUGGCAAAAGCUAGCCGGAAAGCGUGUAUAAUACCAACAGAAAACCUUAGGCAAUUCACACUGCUUAGAAAUGAAGGGUUAAAAAAUAAAAAUGUAUUGCACACAGAUGUUAUCCAUGGAAAUAAAAUAGCUAAAAUGCAGCAAAUACAAGGAGCUUUAGAUUUUCAGAAUGGUGAAGCUAUGAAUGCACUGCAAGCUAGUUCCUCCACAAAGCAAGUGGUUGAUAACAAUACUGACACGUUAAAGAAAGAGGUAGAUUCCUCAUCAGGGGCACAUAGAAAGCCUAACCUUAUUAAUUCUCCUGAUGAUCAGGUAAAGAAUAAAGGGAGCUUUAUUUCUGAUUUUACUGAGAUCAGACCAGAAAAAAAGGUUUUCGGGCAUAUUGACCAGGGGAAGCAGAAUAUUUUGGACAACCAGAAAGUCCCGCCUGAGACAGGUUCCUUUAAGAGCAAGUUAAAGCCUACAGUUCAAAAAUCAGAAUUUUUGAAAUUCUUACCUGUAAACUGUUCUGAGAAUAUGCCAUUAAGUUCAGGUAGAUUUUUCCAGGAAGGUCUUCCCCAUGUGGAGCUCCCAGUUGUUGAUUACCUUAACGUUUCAGUUAACGUCUCUAGCCUGAAAAACUCUGAAUUCUGUGGAAAAAAUGAUCAUGCUAAAACACUGGAUGCUGAAAUAGCAGAGCAAAAACUGGAUCAUACUUACAAAGAAACUUAUAAACAGUCUCUGACACCUUGUCAUGGUAAGUGCAUGGCGGAGAGGAAAGAAGGGCUUUUUAAAUUAAUGCCUGGAAUAGUGGUGAGGUACCUUCUCUGAACAGUACCCCAUUUUUAUUCUUUGAAUAGACUGGCUAAAAUAGGAGUGGAAAAAGGUAAAAUAGAAAAUCACUAACGUUAUGCAUGUCCCCUACCAUAUUAGCAGUCAUGAUGUAUUUCAUGUUUAGGCAGGCAAAUGCACAUUCUUGAAAAGCAGUUAAAGUUGGAGCCUGUACUAACUUUGCAAAAGAGUGUGAUGGGCUUCAGAAAGUUGGGGAUAAAAAGAUACAAUAACUUAGGCUUUUAUACAAGGGGGAGAUUGGUGAACUGCAUUGUUCCCUUCGUAAAUGAAGGACAGAGGCAAGAGCUGUUUUCAUUAACUAGGUUUACAGAUUUCAUCUGUAUUUCUUUAGGAAUACUGUAAUUCAAUAGGAAUUCUCAGGCCUUUACAGAAGAUAUUUUGAGCAGGUCUUCUCUAGCAUCUACUUAUAAGUGUGCUUUCGUAUGACAACCUUAUUUUUUUAAAUAAGGUAUUUUAAGAAAAAAAUCAAACUUUACAAUAGUGUAGGAGAUAAGCUUUAGAUUAUUUUAUCAUACAGUGCAGUUAGUGCAAAGGUGGUAAAGGCUCUGUGCUAGAGUCAGUUUCCUAGCUCAGAUCAGUAGCUUUAAUCCCAAACUCUUAGUCAAAUACUGCUUUUGCUUUAUUUGAAUGCCAUGACAAUAUAGGCAAAUAAUCUCCUAUUUUACAGGAGCACAGAAUAGGAAUACUGGCAGAAUUGGAACACUGUGCAAGAUACAACUCUCUGUAGUUAGUGAUUGCUUUUUCCCAUUUUAGAUUUCUUUUGAAGGUAGAAAUAGGAUCCUGUAAUUUUAUUAGCUUCCAUGAGAAAUUAAUAAAGCCUUGUGAUCAGCAGUGUCA
rnacentral:lncRNA from 1 species